rnacentral:rRNA from 1 species
GACGAACGCUGGCGGCGUGCUUAACACAUGCAAGUCGAACGCUGAAGCUUGGUGCUUGCACUGGGUGGAUGAGUGGCGAACGGGUGAGUAAUACGUGAGUAACCUGCCCUUGACUCUGGGAUAAGCCUGGGAAACUGGGUCUAAUACUGGAUACGACAUGCCACUGCAUGGUGGUGUGUGGAAAGGGUUUUACUGGUUUUGGAUGGGCUCACGGCCUAUCAGCUUGUUGGUGGGGUAAUGGCCUACCAAGGCGACGACGGGUAGCCGGCCUGAGAGGGUGACCGGCGACACUGGGACUGAGACACGGCCCAGACUCCUACGGGAGGCAGCAGUGGGGAAUAUUGCACAAUGGGCGGAAGCCGGAUGCAGCGACGCCGCGUGAGGGAUGACGGCCUUCGGGUUGUAAACCUCUUUCAGCACGGAAGAAGCGAGAGUGACGGUACGUGCAGAAGAAGCGCCGGCUAACUACGUC